rnacentral:rasiRNA from 1 species
AACAAUGUAAAACCGCGACCGAUAACC